rnacentral:SRP_RNA from 1 species
UUGUGCUAAGCGGGGAGUUAGCGGUGCCCUGUUUCCCGAAAUCCGCUUAUGCGGGGCUGAAUUCUCUCUUUAGGGCUUAGUUUGAAACUACCCAACGCUUAGAUCGGUCGCCGCGCAACAGACGGUCGCGAACCUCGUCAGGUCCGGAAGGAAGCAGCGAUAAGCGAUUCAGGCUGUGUCGCGGAUCGAUCCCGAUCAAAAAGCAAAAGGUGGUUACAAACCGGGUUCAACAGGGAGUGCACAA